AAAUUGAAGAGUUUGAUCAUGGCUCAGAUUGAACGCUGGCGGCAGGCCUAACACAUGCAAGUCGAACGGUAACAGGAAGCAGCUUGCUGCUUUGCUGACGAGUGGCGGACGGGUGAGUAAUGUCUGGGAAACUGCCUGAUGGAGGGGGAUAACUACUGGAAACGGUAGCUAAUACCGCAUAACGUCGCA
rnacentral:rRNA from 1 species